rnacentral:misc_RNA from 1 species
UAAUAAGUGUUUUAUGGCACUUUUUAAAUCCAUAUCCACCUUGUGUGCAAUGUCAGUCGAUCUUCUUCAUGGAGAUCGACCAAACAUCAACCUUUAUUUUUUAACUCUUUGUCUGAAAAAUAUUAUGAAUAAACUAAUUCAAAAUA